rnacentral:lncRNA from 1 species
GUUUCAAAGCCCUGGAUUAACCUCAAUUAAACCUCACAUCAACAUAAUUCAAAGGAUUAAGUGGCCAAGAUCUUGAAAUAACCAAGUAUGUUCAGUUAACUCAUUUCAAUAUUUACAGUACCCAAAAUAAUUGAAAAUUGAAUCUCAAAAAUCACACUACAGUUUCCUACAAUGCCUAGACAUUUCACACUUAGUCAGAUAUAGAUGUAGAAAAUACAAAGCAUGCUUAUUAGAUAAAUCUCAAUUUCUUUAGCGCUCUGUCAACAGAUAAAUUUCGUUUCCAAAAAAAAAUAUAUAAAACCAUUACGUACUUGCACCUCACAGAAAUUCCUAACAGCAUAUCAAACAGUAAUCAUUAUUCCCUUUGAGCCUUUUUAACAACAAUUCAGACAUACAAAUAUUACCAAGCACAUCUACUGAUUUCAACCAAAGCUAAAACCCAUCUAGGACAUAUUAAUGUGACUGAGUCCUUCACAUGACAUUGUUGUUGUUCAGCAUAGAAAUCGACUAAGCAUACAUGAUGAAUCAAGUAUUUAAGACACCCAUCUAUGUAAAGAGAUUACAAAAAAGGCUAUUCCCACUUUGUUUCCAUUUCAAACUUCAAAUUUGACCUUACAUCGGAAAAGUUCAGGAAAGGUGUACCUGGGAAUGGAAAUACAAAGGGAAAAAUGAAUAAUCAACAGUCUUAAGUGCAGAAAUUAGCACCAGCAACAGAACAACCUAGAUUCAACCAAAAUCGGCAAUGAAAUCCAUCCAGAAGCAAGAAACCAAACCAGCAACUUAAACCAGGUCGUUCACUACCCAUGCUUAAAUUAUUUUAACCUCAAAUAGAAUCAAAUGUUGUUCAGAAAUGAAAAAAUUCAAAGUUCAAAGCAAAAAUUUCAAUGGAAAAGUAUUUUCUCCAAAUUUUCAGCCGUUUGUGAUUUUAGAAUUUUCUGUCUCUUCCUCUCUGCCUUGAGUUCCAAGUUAGAGUUCCUUUAUAGGCAAGGCACUAGGGAAACUUAAUGAAAAAUAAACUUACACUUAGACCCCUUUUAAAAUUUGAUUUUAAUUAGAAAUCCUUAGGAAAUUUUACGAAAUUUGAAAUAGUCCCAAGUUAGCUUCCAAGAAGCUUCCCUUUCAUUUACACCCUAGAUUCCCUAAAUCAAUUACCUAAAUUAAACUUUUAAAACACCAUUUAAUUACCCUUGGGCCACACAAGCAUAUGGGUCGGGCUGGCCCCAAGAAUUAAGGUAGCCUUGUGCUUGAUGGGAACACUGGAUUCUUGCUCAUUUGGGCUUUCAAUUUUUCAAAGAUCAGAUUCAAGCUGUAACUACAAUCAAAACUCUUAACGAGCUAAUAUAGGAAAUCUCAAAAGAAGACCAUCAAGUCUUAAAAAUGAGACCAAAAUAAAGAAUCAUACAAUGGACUAACUAAUCCUAAUGUGAUGAUAAAACAAACAAACAAAACUUUUAAACUAACUAAAUCAUGCAAAUGAAACAGAUGAGAACAAACAUGCAAGACUGACGGAAAAGAAACAAAAAUUAUAAAAGAAAUAAUAGCCAGAAAAAGAGAAAAAAAAAAGAAAACAAUGAACCAGGGACAUAACUAAAAAUCAACAGACAAAAUAAAUAAUAAAAAAAUGAAUCUAGAAAUGCUUCUGGUCCAACAGACAAAGAAAAGAGAUUUCAAAUCUUCGAAUUUUUGGCCGCCUUUGAUUUUAAUCGUGUGUUCUUAACAAGAACAUACAAAUAGCAUCAAGGUAAACCCAAACCUUCAAACACCCACAUUCAGGGCCUUGGGGAUUUUAGUGUUCACCCUUUUGAUUUGAAAUCAAGGAGUUCCGGAGUCAUUCAAAGGAAAAUAUAUGUGGAUUUGGCAUGGAGAGGUCAUGGGGAUUUCAAGGUGUGAGUUUUGUGCGGUUUGGAGGUGGCACCGCCACCGCAAAAAGCUGGGCGACACUAGGAUUCUGCCCUUUGAUACUAGAAUCUAGGAGGUUUUAGGGGGAUUCGAGGAAGAUAGAGUGGGGAUUUGGGAUAGGGAGAUCGAAAGGGAUGUCUGGUGCGAUUUUUGGAUCAAUUGGCCGUCGGCCGCCGCUGUAGGCGAUUUUCGACGGGUGGCGGACAACAGUGUAUGGCGGAGUCUCUGAAGGGGAUGGUGAGGGGUUCUAGGGGUGGGGGUAGGGACAUUGGGACAUAUAUAUACUCAAUGCACGAUAUCAGUUCCAAGCCAUUGGAUGAAUGAAAUCCAACAGCUGUGAUUGAUCCUAAUAGAACGGGGUCAUUUGAUUUAUUAAAGGAAACAGACCACGUUCUAGGUGGGUUCAAG